rnacentral:rRNA from 1 species
CCGGCGCACGGUGCGUAACGCGUAUGCAACCUACCUUUAACAGGGGAGUAACACUGAGAAAUUGGUACUAAUACCCCAUAAUAUCAUAGAAGGCAUCUUUUAUGGUUGAAAAUUCCGAUGGUUAGAGAUGGGCAUGCGUUGUAUUAGCUAGUUGGUGGGGUAACGGCUCACCAAGGCUCCGAUCGGUAUCCGGCCUGAGAGGGCGGACGGACACACUGGGACUGAGACACGGCCCAG